CCUACGGGAGGCUGCAGUGGGGAAUAUUGGACAAUGGGCGAAAGCCUGAUCCAGCCAUGCCGCGUGUGUGAAGAAGGCCUUCGGGUUGUAAAGCACUUUCAGUGGGGAAGAAAGCCUUGGGGCUAAUACCCUCGAGGAAGGACAUCACCCACAGAAGAAGCACCGGCUAACUCCGUGCCAGCAGCCGCGGUAAUACGGAGGGUGCGAGCGUUAAUCGGAAUUACUGGGCGUAAAGCGCGCGUAGGCGGUCUGAUAAGCCGGUUGUGAAAGCCCCGGGCUCAACCUGGGAACGGCAUCCGGAACUGUCAGGCUAGAGUGCAGGAGAGGAAGGUAGAAUUCCCGGUGUAGCGGUGAAAUGCGUAGAGAUCGGGAGGAAUACCAGUGGCGAAGGCGGCCUUCUGGACUGACACUGACGCUGAGGUGCGAAAGCGUGGGUAGCAAACAGGAUUUAGAUACCCGGGUAGU
rnacentral:rRNA from 1 species